GGACCUCAGGAUGAGGCUGGGAGCCAGGUGGCAGACAGCAGGGUCUGUAGCAGCAGCAAGCCAGGAUCCACCUUGUUGCACAGACAACUUCCUGUGUCUCCUUCUGGCUUAAAUAGUGUAUUUGGCCCAGUCAGGGGCUCUGGGGCUCCUCCAAUCAGGUGCCUGUGGAUGGUACCUU